UACGUAGGGGGCAAGCGUUGUCCGGAUUUACUGGGCGUGAAGAGCGUGUGGGCGGCCAAGCAGGUCCGUUGUGAAAGUCGGGGGCUCAACCCUCGAAUGCCGGUGGAUACUGUCGGGCUAGAGUGCGGAAGAGGCGAGUGGAAUUCCUGGUGUAGCGGUGAAAUGCGCAGAUAUCAGGAGGAACACCUAUUGCGAAGGCAGCUCGCUGGGACGUUACUGACGCUGAGACGCGAAAGCGUGGGGAGCAAACAGG
rnacentral:rRNA from 1 species